rnacentral:lncRNA from 1 species
AUAGUUAGAUUACUAUCGCAACAACUUGGGAUCCGAGCUGUGUCUGUGACUUACACCACAGCUCACGACAACGCUGGAUCCUUAACCCACUGAGCAAGACCAGGGAUCAAACCCACAACCUCAUGGUUCCUAGUUGGAUUCGUUACCCACUGUGCCAUGCCAGGAACUCCCCUGCAUUUUGUUUUUUAUCUGAAGUAUGUUUGAUGUACAAUGUUGUACUUCUACAGCCAGGGGAUUGUUACAUGUACAUUUUUCACCUUAUUCAGAUACUUUUCAACAAUAGGUUAUUACAAGAUACUGCAUAUUGUUCCUUGGGAUAGAGAGUAGAUCUGGGAUGGUUAUUUUGUAAAUACUAGUAAAAUAAAUACUUUAUUUUUUUCUUUUCUUCCUUGUCUAUGGCUGAACCUGUGGCAUAUGGAGGUUCCCAGGUUAAUGGUCCAAUUGGAGCUGCAGCUGCCGGCCUACGCCACAGCCAAAGCAACAAGAGAUCUCAGCUGCAUCUGCCGUCUACACCACAGCUCAUGGGACACCAGAUCUUUAACCUAAUGAAUUAACCGUAUGAAUUGAAACCACAGUAAUGGUUCCUAAUCGGAUUUGUUUCUGCUGUGCCACAAUAGGAACUCACUGUAUUGAUAAUCCACAAUUGGUGAUUUAUCUCUGCCCAAUAUUCUCCUUUGGUAAACAAAAGUUAGUUUUUACUGAAUGUAUGGGCAUUUCUGUUUUGAAAAUCAGUUCAAUGCUAUUAUUGUUAGAUUCCAUAUGAAAUUGAUAUCAUAUCUGUAAUUUUAUCCAUCUGGCGUGCUUCACUUGGUAUGCUAAUUUCUAGGUGGAUUGACCCUGCUGCCAAUGGCACUGUUUCUUUUCUUUUUAUGGCCGAGUCCUAGUCCCUUGGACCUAAGGAGCAUGUCUUCUUGAUCCAUGCAUCUGUGGAUGGAUACCGACGCUUCCACGCCUGGGCUGUUGUGAAUCGUGGGGCUCUGGACUCGGGCAUGGGGGUGGGGGGGCCUGUGUGGUUUGGAAUGAUAGUUUUGUCCUGCUCUAAGCCCACGAGUGGGACUGCUGGAUCAUGGGGCAACCCUAGUGUUCGUCUUUUCAGGACAGAACAGAACAAGUUAGGGCCCUGCUUUCUUUCCUGGAGGAUUUCUCAGAGCCAGGGUGACAAUUGUGAAUGGCAAAGAGGGGCUGAUAAUUCCUAGCGUUUUCUGUAAAAGCUUGGUGGUCCAGGAAGUCCUUUGGAUCCUCCCUGUCUCAUCCCCACCCCCAGCCCUUCCCUGCACCCUGGCAGCCGCCAAAGCCAGCCCGGAGCAGUCAAGGUCAUGUGGACACAGAUGUUAGCGUGACCUACUCUCCCUGAUUCCCAAGGGCUGUGCUAAAGCCGGGAAGGUGCCAGGGAAACUGGGACCUGGUGGUUCCCUAGGAAAUGCCGGUGUAGGGGGCACCUCAGACCAUGGGGGUUUCAGGGGGAAGAAAGGAGCAGACCCAAGGGCCCAAAGGGCAUGGGCAUAAGCAAUGGACAUGGGGCGGGGCGAGAGACAGAAGGCGCUGGGUAGGGAGGGGGCCUCUUUGAAGCAGCCUGAUCCCAGAGCGGCUUUGCUCUGGGCACAGCGCCGCCUGGUGGCCACAGAGCGGCAGUGCCAAGCUCCCUUUGCUCUGCAGCCCGUUCUUCCCACUGGAAUUGAUUAAAAGCCAAAAUAUAAAAUCAGAUAAUGUAAAGCUCUUAGAGGAAAACACAAGCCGAACCCUCUCUUACAUCACCUACAGAAAUAUCUUGGUAUGGAAAUGCUAUGAAAUUGGGUUGUGAUGAUCAUUGUACAACUAAUAAUGUAAUAAAAACCUUCAACCCCCUCCCCA